UUAAAGGAAUUGACGGGGACCCGCACAAGCAGCGGAGCGUGUGGUUUAAUUUCGAUGCUACACGAAGAACCUUACCAGGGUUUGACAUGCAAGUGGUAGGAACUGAAAAGGGACCGACCCUUCGGGGAGCUUGCACAGGUGCUGCAUGGCUGUCGUCAGCUCGUGUCGUGAGAUGUUCGGUUAAGUCCGCUAACGAGCGCAACCCUCACUGUGUGUUAUAUGUGUCACACGGGACUGCGGUUUUAAGCCGGAGGAAGGUGGGAUGACGUCAAGUCAGCAUGGCCUUUAUAUCCUGGGCUACACACACGCUACAAUGGUCGGUACAAUAGGUUGCCAAGCCGCGAGGCGGAGCCAAUACCAAAAAAGCCGGCCUCAGUUCAGAUUGUAGGCUGCAACCCGCCUGCAUGAAGAUGGAGUUGCUAGUAACCGCAGGUCAGCUAUACUGCGGUGAAUACGUCCGGGGCUU
rnacentral:rRNA from 1 species